rfam:Ricinus communis ctg_1100012358159, whole genome shotgun sequence.
UCCGAUGAUGGCAUGGAAUCUUUGAGACCUGACGUUAUCUAAUUUGAUGACAAAUAUAAGCAUAAUUUCUGAGGAC